ACGGGAGGCAGCAGUGGGGAAUAUUGGGCAAUGGGCGCAAGCCUGACCCAGCGACGCCGCGUGAGGGAAGACGGUCUUCGGAUUGUAAACCUUUGUUGACAGGGACGAAGAAAAUGACGGUACCUGUCGAGGAAGCCACGGCUAACUACGUGCCAGCAGCCGCGGUAAUACGUAGGUGGCGAGCGUUAUCCGGAUUUACUGGGUGUAAAGGGUGUGUAGGCGGGAAAGCAAGUCGGAUGUGAAAAUUAUGGGCUUAACUCAUAACCUGCGUCCGAAACUACAUUUCUUGAGAGUCGGAGGGGUAAAUGGAAUUCCUGGUGUAGCGGUGAAAUGCGUAGAUAUCAGGAGGAACACCGGUGGCGAAGGCGAUUUACUGGACGACAACUGACGCUGAGACACGAAAGUAUGGGGAGCAAACAGGAUUAGAUACCCUGGUA
rnacentral:rRNA from 2 species